rnacentral:rRNA from 1 species
CAAGUCGAACGGUAAGGUCUCUUCGGAGAUACACGAGUGGCGGACGGGUGAGCAACGCGUAGGAAUAUGCCCUUUAGUGGGGGACAACCAAGAGAAAUUUUGGCUAAUACCCCAUAUGCAGUGAUGUGAAAGAUUUAUCGCUAGAGGAGUAGCCUGCGUUUGAUUAGCUAGUUGGUGGGGUAAAAGCUCACCAAGGCGACGAUCAAUAGCUGGUUUGAGAGGAUGACCAGCCACAAUGGGACUGAGAUACGGCCCAUACUCCUACGGGAGGCAGCAGUAGGGAAUUUUGCGCAAUGGGCGAAAGCCUGACGCAGCAAUACCGUGUGCGGGAAGACGCUCUGUGGAGUGUAAACCGCUGUCAGAUGGGAAGAAUCAAUGACUGUACCAUCAAAGGAAGGACCGGCUAACUCUGUGCCAGCAGCCGCGGUAAUACAGAGGGUCCAAGCGUUAUCCGGAUUUAUUGGGCGUAAAGCGUCUGUAGGUUGUUAACUAAGUCUGAAGUGAAAGAAUGGAGCUCAACUCCAUACACGCUUUGGAAACUGGUUGACUAGAGAAUGUUAGAGGUAAGUGGAAUUCCUAGUGUAGCGGUGAAAUGCGUAGAUAUUAGAAAGAACACCAGAGGCGAAGGCGACUUACUGGGACAUUUCUGACACUGAGAGACGAAAGCAUGGGGAGCGAGAGGGAUUAGAUACCCCUGUAGUCCAUGCUGUAAACGAUGAAUACUAGUCGCUAUGGGAAUCGACCCCCGUGGUGACGUAGCUAACGCGUUAAGUAUUCCGCCUGGGAAGUAUGCACGCAAGUGUGAAACUCAAAGGAAUUGACGG